rnacentral:tRNA from 1 species
GCGUCGGUGGCGGAACGGCAUACGCAGCGGUCUCAGAAACCGUGGUCAUUGACAUGUGGGUUCGACUCCCACCCGACGUA